GCAAGUCGAACGAGAAAGCACUUCGGUUCGUGAGAAGAGUGGCGCACGGGCGAGUAAUACGUGGGUAAUCUACCCUUGAAUUUGGGGUAACAUCGCGAAAGUGGUGCUAAUACCGGAUAAUAUCUAAAUUGCUUAUGGUGUUUAGAUCAAAGAUGGCCUCUUCUUGAAAGCUAUCGUUUGAGGAUGAGCCCACGCACCAUUAGCUAGUUGGUAGGGUAAAGGCCUACCAAGGCUUCGAUGGUUAGCUGGUCUGAGAGGAUGAUCAGCCACACUGGAACUGACACACGGUCCAGACUCCUACGGGAGGCAGCAGUGAGGAAUUUUGCGCAAUGGGGGAAACCCUGACGCAGCAACGCCGCGUGAGUGAUGAAGGCUUUUGGGUCGUAAAGCUCUGUCAGCAGGGAAGAAAUCGUUUAUAGCUAAUAUCCAUUCCGCUUGACGGUAUCUCUAAAGGAAGCACCGGCUAACUACGUGCCAGCAGCCGCGGUAAUACGUAGGGUGCAAGCGUUGUUCGGAAUUAUUGGGCGUAAAGCGCGUGUAGGUUGCUAUGCAAGUCGGGUGUGAAAUCCCUCGGCUCAACCGAGGAAGUGCAUCCGAAACUACAUAGCUAGAGGAUGGUAGAGGGAGGUGGAAUUCCUAGUGUAGAGGUGAAAUUCGUAGAUAUUAGGAGGAAUACCGGUGGCGAAGGCGGCCUCCUGGGCCGUUCCUGACACUGAGACGCGAAAGCGUGGGUAGCAAACAGGAUUAGAUACCCUGGUAGUCCACGCCGUAAACGAUGGGUACUAGGUGUUGCGGGUAUUGACCCCUGCAGUGCCGCAGCUAACGCAUUAAGUACCCCGCCUGGGAAGUACGGUCGCAAGAUUAAAACUCAAAGGAAUUGACGGGGGCCCGCACAAGCGGUGGAGCAUGUGGUUUAAUUCGACGCAACGCGAAGAACCUUACCUGCUUGUGACAUCCCGACAUUCUGUGGAAACAUGGAAGUCAGCUCGGCUGGAUCGGUGACAGGUGCUGCAUGGCUGUCGUCAGCUCGUGUCGUGAGAUGUUGGGUUAAGUCCCGCAACGAGCGCAACCCUUGUCCUUAGUUGCCAUCAUUUAGUUGGGCACUCUAGGGAGACUGCCGGUGUUAAACCGGAGGAAGGUGGGGAUGACGUCAAGUCCUCAUGGCCCUUAUGUCCAGGGCUACACACGUGCUACAAUGGCCGGUACAAAGGGCUGCAAAGCCGCGAGGUGGAGCAAAUCCCAGAAAGCCGGUCUCAGUUCGGAUUGGAGUCUGCAACUCGACUCCAUGAAGUUGGAAUCGCUAGUAAUCGCGUAUCAGCAUGACGCGGUGAAUACGUUCCCGGGCCUUGUACACACCGCCCGUCACACCACGGGAGUCUAUUGUACCGGAAACCGGUGGGCUAACCUUCGGGAGGAAGGCGCCCAAG
rnacentral:rRNA from 1 species